rnacentral:tRNA from 1 species
GCGAGAGUGGCGGAAUUGGCAGACGCGCUGGAUUUAGGAUCCAGUGGGCAACACCCAUCCGGGUUCGAGUCCCGGCUCUCGCA